CCCGCCGGGUCUUACCUGGCUCCGCGGAGGCCACGCGGACUCCGAGCAGCAGGACCACCGGGGCGAGAACGUCUAGGAGGCUCCGCGGCCGCGGCCGCAGCCAGGGCCACCUGCGGGCGACAGGCCACAGGCCACAGGUCUCCAGCCCUCCCGCUCAGCCUGGCCCAGGAAUGGUGGCUUCGCUGGCCUUGAGCCUCUGACCGGCUGAAAACCCUGGGCAGGCGGGCACGUAGCGGACGGAGCCAGCGUUCAUGGGGGAUUUCUCCUAGCAGAAUUUGGGAAUGGCGAGUGAAUGAUGAGACAUCCACCAAAUGCAAUAUUAUGCCCCCUGAAGAAAUCUAGCGACAUAAGAAGGGCUCCCGCGGAGAUGCUUUGUCCAGCACCACCCAGACAGCGCACUCCGGUGGCAGCAAAGGUGCUGCCAGCGCACACGGCUGGGAGGAAGGAGUCCAGGUGAUUCCCGUUUCCUGCCAGCCUGGCAGCCUUCCACCACAAACAACACAGCCCCAUCCCCUUUCCUUCCUUGAUAAAUGGACAGCCACGCAAAGCCCCCCUCCGGCAAAUUAACUUCAGAGCGUUGCCCCCACGCCACUCCUGCUCAUCCCCUGAGAUAAGCCAGGAUGACUGCUCAGUGCAAAACAAUCCCAGCUAUGCAUACAGCCUGCGCAGCCCCACACACCUCAGGAUCAAAGCUAACACAUUUCCAACCGUAUUCCAGCCCACCCAACGAUGGGCGGUGCCCUUUGCCUGCCAUGCCCAUCCCCACCCUCCCCGUCUACACUGCUUCAUGCUCAGGUCCAUGCAGACCAGCAGCCUGGCAGCCCCCAGCACGACACCCAACUCCAUCUGUCUGCAGAGCCCCCAUUGCUACCUAAGUUCCUGUCCCUUCAUUUGCUCAUUUUUCCAGGUAUUUGCUUAUCCCUUCCCCCUUCCAUCCAGGAGAGUUCAGGCCCCUAAAGGACAGCCCCUUUGCUUUGUUCACAACUAAGAAUAACAGAAGGAAGGGGGGAAGGAGCAAAUGCAGACAUGUUAAAGCUAAGGCGGGCGUUUCAAAUUGUUCCUUGCCAGGAACCCCAGUGGAAACCUUCCGGGCAGGACUGGUCUGCCCCUUUGACAACCUCUACCUUCCUUUACCAGUCACCUUAUGUUCAAGUCAUUUGUGCACACCUCCCUGCUCACUCUCACCCCCAAAAUAUGAGCCAUUUGAACAUAGAAAACUAACAUGUGCUCUAACUCAUUAUAAAAAUCCCCAAACACUACUGAUAAAGCUCAAGUCCCGCUUGAUCUGCCUUUUCAUCUCAGUCUCCUGAC